ACAAAUUAAACACCCCAAAUCAAAACCCUCACUUCUCGUCGAAAUCCAGUUCAGAAACUUCAUCUCCAUCUCGUCCUUCCUCGAUCUCCAGAAUCCAUGUUUCUUACACCAUUGAUGUUUAGGCCUCUGCUGAGGCUGCUAACAUCUUUAGCUACCAAUCCUGCUGCCUCAGUUUCGACGUUGCUCUACUACAGCGAGCUUCUUCCUCAGAACAUCAUCCUCGAAAGAUUGGUUCGACACGAACUGCUCGAUCGCGAAAAUUACCUGUUUCAUUUCCUCACCAACUUUUUGAGAUGUUUUUGGUAGGAACUAUCAAAUAGUCGUUCUAUAUUCUAAUAUAAGCUAAACCAUGAGGCGGGGAAAGUCCAGAAGACUAGUACAAAGUAAAAUGCAAUAAGGAGCUGACUAGUAAAAGCCCA